rnacentral:piRNA from 1 species
UGUAGGGAAACCCAUUGCGAACAAUUGUC